AGCAGCCGCGGUAAUUCCAGCUCCAAUAGCGUAUAUUAAAGUUGUUGCAGUUAAAAAGCUCGUAGUUGAACUUCGGGGUCUACCCAUUGGUCAGGCUUAAUUGUCUGCACUGGUGAGAUGGAUCUCUACCUUCUGAGGAACUUUCAUGCCAUUUAUUUGGUGUGAUGGGAAAUCAGGACUGUUACUUUGAAAAAAUUGAGUGUUUAAAGCUAGACUAUCGUCUGAAUACAUUAGCAUGGAAUAAUGAAAUAGGACGGACUGAUUCUAAUUUCGUUGGUUUCUAGGAUCACCGUAAUGAUUAAUAGGGAUAGUUGGGGGCAUUAGUAUUCAAUUGUCAGAGGUGAAAUUCUUGGAUUUAUUGAAGACUAACUACUGCGAAAGCAUUUGCCAAGGAUGUUACUCAUUAAUCAAGAACGAAAGUUAGGGGAUCGAAGACGAUCAGAUACCGUCGUAGUCUUAAACCAUAAACUAUGUCCGACUAGGGAUCGGACGAAGUUAAUUUAUAAUGUACG
rnacentral:rRNA from 1 species